AACGAACGCUGGCGGCAGGCCUAAAACGUGCAAGUCGAACGAACCUUCGGGUUAGUGGCGCACGGGUGCGUAACGCGUGGGAAUAUACCUCUGGGUGCGGAACAACGUCUGGAAACGGACGCUAAUACCGCAUAAUAUCUACGGAUCAAAGAUUUAUCGCCCAGAGAUUAGCCCGCGUCUGAUUAGCUAGUUGGUGAGGUAAUGGCUCACCAAGGCGACGAUCAGUAGCUGGUCUGAGAGGAUGAUCAGCCACACUGGAACUGAGACACGGUCCAGACUCCUACGGGAGGCAGCAGUUGGGAAUAUUGGACGAUGGGGGAAACCCUGAUCCAGCCAUGCCGCGUGAGUGAAGAAGGCCUUAGGGUUGUAAAGCUCCUUCGGCUGUGAAGAUAAUGACAGUAGCAGAAGAAGAAGCUCCGGCUAAAUUCGUGCCAGCAGCCGCGGUAA
rnacentral:rRNA from 1 species